rnacentral:tRNA from 1 species
GCCGAAGUGGCGGAACUGGCAGACGCACUAGAUUCAGGGUCUAGCGGGAGCAAUCCCGUCGGGGUUCAAAUCCCCGCUUCGGCACCA